AGUGAACGCUGGCGGUAGGCCUAACACAUGCAAGUCGAACGGCAGCACAGUAAGAGCUUGCUCUUACGGGUGGCGAGUGGCGGACGGGUGAGGAAUACAUCGGAAUCUACUUUUUCGUGGGUGAUAACGUAGGGAAACUUACGCUAAUACCGCAUACGACCUACGGGUGAAAUCAGGGGAUCUUCGGACCUUGCGCGAUUGAAUGAGCCGAUGUCGGAUUAGCUAGUUGGCGGGGUAAAGGCCCACCAAGGCGACGAUCCGUAGCUGGUCUGAGAGGAUGAUCAGCCACACUGGAACUGAGACACGGUCCAGACUCCUACGGGAGGCAGCAGUGGGGAAUAUUGGACAAUGGGCGCAAGCCUGAUCCAGCCAUACCGCGUGGGUGAAGAAGGUCUUCGGGUUGUAAAGCCCUUUUGUUGGGAAAGAAAAGCAGCAGGUUAAUACCUCGCUGUUCUGACGGUACCCAAAGAAUAAGCACCGGCUAACUUCGUG
rnacentral:rRNA from 1 species